GAUGAACGCUGGCGGCGUGCCUAAUACAUGGAAGUCGAGCGAAUGGAUUAAGAGCUUGCUCUUAUGAAGUUAGCGGCGGACGGGUGAGUAACACGUGGGUAACCUGCCCAUAAGACUGGGAUAACUCCGGGAAACCGGGGCUAAUACCGGAUAACAUUUUGAACCGCAUGGUUCGAAAUUGAACGGCGGCUUCGGCUGUCACUUAUGGAUGGAACCGCGUCGCAUUAGCUAGUUGGUGAGGUAACGGCUCACCAAGGCAACGAUGCGUAGCCGACCUGAGAGGGUGAUCGGCCACACUGGGACUGAGACACGGCCCAGACUCCUACGGGAGGCAGCAGUAGGGAAUCUUCCGCAAUGGACGAAAGUCUGACGGAGCAACGCCGCGUGAGUGAUGAAGGCUUUCGGUUCGUAAAACUCUGUUGUUAGGGAAGAACAAGUGCUAGUUGAAUAAGCUGGCACCUUGACGGUACCUAACCAGAAAGCCACGGCUAACUACGUGCCAGCAGCCGCAGUAA
rnacentral:rRNA from 1 species